rnacentral:rRNA from 1 species
AGUUAUAGGGAGGGGCUUAUGUCACCACAAACAGAAACUAAAGCAGGUGUUGGAUUUAAAGCUGGUGUUAAAGAUUAUAAAUUGACUUACUACACCCCAGAGUAUGAAACUAAUGAUACUGAUAUCUUGGCAGCAUUCCGAGUAAGUCCUCAGUCUGGGGUUCCGCCCGAAGAAGCAGGGGCUGCAGUAGCUGCCGAAUCUUCUACUGGUACAUGGACAACUGUUUGGACUGAUGGUCUUACCAGUCUUGAUCGUUACAAAGGACGAUGCUAUCACAUCGAGCCUGUUGCUGGGGAAGACAGCCAAUGGAUCUGUUAUGAAGCUUAUCCAUUAGACCUAUUUGAAGAGGGUUCUGUUACUAACAUGUUUACUUCCAUUGUAGGUAACGUAUUUGGUUUCAAAGCCCUACGUGCUCUACGUUUGGAGGAUCUACGAAUUCCCCCUACUUAUUCAAAAACUUUCCAAGGCCCGCCUCAUGGUAUCCAAGUUGAAAGAGAUAAGUUGAACAAGUAUGGUCGUCCUUUAUUGGGAUGUACUAUUAAACCAAAAUUGGGAUUAUCCGCAAAAAAAUAUGGUAGAGCGUGUUAUGAGUGUCUAUGUGGUGGACUUGAUUUUACCAAAGAUGAUGAAAACGUAAACUCACAACCAUUUAUGCGCUGGAGAGACCGUUUUGUCUUUUGUGCCGAAGCUAUUUAUAAAUCAUAG